AUUCAGCAGGAAGCUGAUUGCAGCCUAAGGCUGUAGAUGGAGCUGGACAGGUCUUAUUACAAAAGCCCUGUCAUAGCCUCCACAAGGUGCAGUUGGGCUGCAGGAUAAGCUGGACGGUGCUUAUUAAGAAAAGCCCCGUCAUAGACUUCACUGGGUGCGGCAGCUGCUGCAAAGGAGUUAGAGUUUGAAGAAGAAACCCUGUCUGGAGCUCCACGUGAAUCAGGUGCUUGCUGGUGCUGACUCGCAGUGAUCACCUAUGUCCCCGCCUCAGCCUGUAACACUUAGAUCCCUCUUCUUCCGGGCAGUGUAGCCGGUGGCACGCAUGCAGCAAGUUGCCAUGGGUACCGUGACGCCAGGAGAGGAAGCGGACAUUGGCGCGCCGGUCGGACGUGGGAGUCUGGUGAGCAGCAGGGAGGUCCAGGAGCACCGAUACAGUAUUCUUCUGCCUACUUCCGCUUACAUGUUGCCAUGGUAAUGAUACACGUACGCGUCUCUCCUACGACGUCAGCACAGUGCGGCGACUGGGCGGGUGCUCAGUCCCAGCCCGGGAGCCGUCAUUUUUCUGUUUGGUGAGCACUAUAAAGACAUCCAGGCAGAAAGGAAGUGAAAUUGCGGUUCCCUUAUAUGGAAUCCAAAACCUGCAAGAUCAGACGCUGGAUAAAAACAAUAUUGUGAAGUGGUCAAAAUUAACUGGAAAUUAGAGGAAAUUAAAGUUAUUGAGGUUAAUAAUACUGUAGGAAAAGAAACAGGCCAAAAUUCAGCAGACAGCAUAACUCUGGAAUGCCUGCAGCAAUGUACAACAAACUUGGUACACAUAUGACUUACACUCUGGAAACAAAUACUGUGGGGGUCAGACACACCUAGCACCCCUAGGGGUAUGACAGCAGCACAGAGUAUGUCAGCAGGCAGCAUAACUGUGGAAGGCCUGGAGCAAUUUACACCAAACUCUGUACACAUUUGAUUUACACUCUGGGAACAAACACUGUGCAGGUCAGACCCCCCUAGCACCCCUAGAGGUGGGACAGCAGCACAGAGUAUGUUAGCAGACAGCAUAACUGUAGAAGGGCUGUAGCAACUUCACCAAACUUGGUACACAUCUGACUUACAAUAUGGGAACAAACUCUGUGGGGGUUAGACACCCCUAGCACCCCUAGGGGGGGGGGGGGGCAGCACAGAGUAUUUCAGGAGACAGCAUAACUCCCGAAUGCCUGGACCUAUUUACAACAAGCUUGGUACACAUAUUACUUACAGGCUGGGAACAAUCACUGUGGGGGUAAGACACCCCUAGCCCCCCUAGGGGGUGAGGCAGAAGCACAGAUUUUUUCAGCAGAGAGCAUAACUCUUUAAUGCCUUGAGCAAUUUACACCAAACUUGCUACACAAAUGACUUAAAUUCUGGGAACAAACACUGUGGGGGUAACACACCUAGCACCCCUAGGGGAGGGACAGCAGCACAGAGUAUUUCAGAAGACAGCAUAACUCCCGAAUGCCUGGACCUAUUUACAAGAAACUUGGUACACAUAUGACUUACAGGCUGGGAACAAACACUGUGGUGGUAAGACAACCCUAGCACCCGUAGGCAUGAGGCAGCAGCACAGAGUUUUUCAGCAGACAGCAUAACUCUUUAAUGCCUGGAGCAAUUUACACCAAACUUGCUACACAAAUGACUUACACUCUGGGGAGUGACAUGAUGUGAGGAGGGGAAUGCAGGUAGCACAAACCCACACACUGAGAGUUAUAUAGUGGAAGUAGCACUGUCCCCCAGCACCACAAAGUAUAUCAGGAGAUACAUAAUGUGCUGCACUAUAUAAAAACCGGUGAAAAAAUUUAUAAUUUCACAGGGGCACUGACAUGAUGUGAGGAGGGGAAUGUAGGCAGCAGGAGGCCAGCAGGGAAGAGCAGGGUCCCUUGGGGGACCAAAAAGGGACCCGGCCACUACACAAAGUGCGUCAGGGAAGCAAGAUAUGCCUAUAUACUAGAUCUCCAAGCACCGUAAAUUAACGAACCACUAUCAUUCUAAUUUACCAUCCUCAUCCCGUAGCAAAGCACGGGUAUUCAGCUAUCUACAAUGUCAUUUAUACUGUGAGUUUAAUAUUUACAUUUAUUUUUGUAAACAGACAUUCUUAAUAUCCCGGGCAUCACCGGGUACUGUAGCUAGUGUAUAUAUAUAUAUAGAUAGAUAGAUAGAUAGAUAGAUAGAUACACUUUUUUUCAAUAUAAUAUCCAGGACCAAAACCCACAAGAGCGGGGUUUGGCAAAAUUAAUAUUGAUCCAAAAACAGAGCUACAGAUCCAAAACCAAAAACCAAAAUCUGAGAUUUGGGCUGGCACACAUCCCUAGAAAGGUGUAAAAGGCACCUCAAAUCUAAACAUUUCACAAUCCUGAAGAAAGCAUCACCUCUAAUUAUAAUGAAAGAAAAACGUAUUGCCGAAAGAAGUUAAAUUGCCAACAUGCCAUACACCACACACAGUAGCAAGGAAAGUCUCAGGCCACGCCCUUACGAAUGGCGGUUCUGCUACUACUCAUUCAUUCACUAAAAGGCCUAUUGCAAAAGCCAGGGCCAACUACAGUUAGGCAUCCUCUUCACAUGCACCACCUCAUACUGGAUUUUUUUGUUUGGUAACCUGUGCAUGUCCUUUUUAAUAUUCAGCAUUAGGGUGGUAGAAGGGCCCAAGGACAACUCCAUUAUGCACCAUUUUUCAUUUUGGACUGUACUUUACCAGGAAAUUGUUGAUGGUCUCCUGUCUCUUGCUAGGCCACCCAACACCAGCUUAUGCUAUUUUAAUGUAAUCAAUGAAUGAAUGAAUCAAUCAAUCAAGAUUUUACCUGACUACCACCACAUACAUCAGGCAUGUCCAAACUGUGGCCCU